CSAACGGUGAAGGCGGAGCUUGCUCUGCUGGAUCAGUGGCGAACGGGUGAGUAACACGUGAGCAAUCUGCCCCUGACUCUGGGAUAAGCGCUGGAAACGGCGYCUAAUACUGGAUACGAGCUGCGAAGGCAUCUUCAGCAGCUGGAAAGAAUUUCGGUCAGGGAUGAGCUCGCGGCCUAUCAGCUUGUUGGUGAGGUAAYGGCUCACCAAGGCGUCGACGGGUAGCCGGCCUGAGAGGGUGACCGGCCACACUGGGACUGAGACACGGCCCAGACUCCUACGGGAGGCAGCAGUGGGGAAUAUUGCACAAUGGGCGAAAGCCUGAUGCAGCAAMGCCGCGUGAGGGACGACGGCCUUCGGGUUGUAAACCUCUUUUAGCAGGGAAGAAGCGAAAGUGACGGUACCUGCAGAMAA
rnacentral:rRNA from 1 species